rnacentral:rRNA from 1 species
CCUACGGGUGGCAGCAGUGGGGAAUAUUGCACAAUGGGCGAAACCCUGAUGCAGCGACGCCGCGUGAGUGAAGAAUGAUUUCGGUACUUAAAGCUCUUUCAGCAGGGAAGUAAAUGACUGUACCUGUCGAAUAAGCUCCGUCUAACUACGUGCCAGCAGCCGCGGUAAUACGUAGGCGGCCAGCGUUAUCCGGAUUUACUGGGUGUAAAGGGAGCGUAGUCGGUAGCGCAAGUCUGGAGUGAAAUCGCAGGGCUUAACCAUGGAACUGCUUUGGAAACUGUGCAGCUGGAGUGCAGGAGAGGUAAGCGGAAUUCGUGGUGUAGCGGUGAAAUGCGUAGAUAUUAGGAGGAACACCAGUGGCGAAGGCGGCUUACUGGACUGUAACUGACGUUGAGGCUCGAAAGCGUGGGGAGCAAACAGGAUUAGAUACCCUUGUAGUC